AGGACGAACGCUGGCGGCGUGCUUAACACAUGCAAGUCGAGCGAGGCCCGUCCUUCGGGACGGUGCCCUAGCGGCGAACGGGUGAGUAACACGUGGGCAACCUGCCCCUAGCACUGGGAUAACUCCGGGAAACCGGGGCUAAUACCGGAUAUGACCUUUGAGGGCAUCCUUGAAGGUGUAAAGGAUUCUGGCUAGGGAUGGGCCCGCGGCCUAUCAGCUUGUUGGUGGGGUAAUGGCCUACCAAGGCGACGACGGGUAGCCGGCCUGAGAGGGCGACCGGCCACACUGGGACUGAGACACGGCCCAGACUCCUACGGGAGGCAGCAGUGGGGAAUAUUGCACAAUGGGCGAAAGCCUGAUGCAGCGACGCCGCGUGAGGGAUGACGGCCUUCGGGUUGUAACCUCUUUCAGCAGGGACGAAGCGAAAGUGACGGUACCUGCGAGAAGAAGCACCGGCCAACUACGCGCCAGCAGCCGC
rnacentral:rRNA from 1 species